rnacentral:misc_RNA from 1 species
GAUGAAGAACGUAGCGAAAUGCGAUAAGUAAUGUGAAUUGCAGAAUUCAGUGAAUCAUCGAAUCUUUGAACGCACCUUGCGCCCUUUGGCCAUUCCGAAGGGCAUGCCUGUUUGAGUAUCAUGAACACCUCAACUCUUCAUGGUUUUCCAUGAUGAGCUUGGACUUUGGGGGUCUUGCUGGCCUGUGGGUCGGCUCCUCUCAAAUGAAUCAGCUUGCCGGUUUUUGGUGGGCAUCACAGGUGUGAUAACUAUCUACGCUUGUGGUUUUCCACCAGGGUAACCUUCAGCAGUGGAGGUUCACUGGAGCUUACAAAUGUCUCUCCUCUGUGAGGACAGCCCUUUGAAUGUUUGAUCUCAAAUCAGGUAGGACUACCCGCUGAACUUAAGCAUAUCAAUGAGCGGAGGA